rnacentral:rRNA from 1 species
UAGGGGGCAAGCGUUAUCCGGAUUUACUGGGUGUAAAGGGAGCGUAGACGGCGAUGUAAGUCUGAAGUGAAAGCCCAGGGCUCAACCCUGGGACUGCUUUGGAAACUGUGUUGCUAGAGUGCUGGAGAGGUAAGUGGAAUUCCUAGUGUAGCGGUGAAAUGCGUAGAUAUUAGGAGGAAAACCAGUGGCGAAGGCGGCUUACUGGACAGUAACUGACGUUGAGGCUCGAAAGCGUGGGGAGCAA